CAGACGAGUCUGUAGCGGGAGGGAAGAAAAAAAAGUCACCGAAAACGACAGUUGUUUCCAUCAUCGAGCAAAUAUGUCCAUGUUUAACUAUAAGUGAGGGCGAAGAAACAGAUUCUGGCACAAAUAAGGAUGAAGGAGAAAGUAACGAAGAAGAAACAGAUUGUUCGGGGCCGGAAGAUGCCUCCACCAAAAAGAACAGAGGCAUCUCUUCAAGCGAAGAAACAUCAAGUUCUGAAUCGACUUCAGGUGGCUCAGACGAGUCUGUAGCAGGAAGGGAAAAAGAAAAGGCACCGAACAAGACAUUUGUUUCCAUCAUCGAGGAAAUAUGUCCAUGUUUACCUAUAUGUGAGGGCGAAGAAACAGAUUCUGGUACAAACAAGGAUGAAGGAGAAAGUAACAAAGGAGGAACAGAUUGUUCGGGGCCGGAUGAUUCCUCCACCAAAAAGG